rnacentral:rRNA from 1 species
AGCGAACGCUGGCGGCAGGCCUAACACAUGCAAGUCGAACGAACUCUUCGGAGUUAGUGGCGGACGGGUGAGUAACACGUGGGAACGUGCCUUUUGGUUCGGAAUAACUCAGGGAAACUUGUGCUAAUACCGAAUGUGCCCUUCGGGGGAAAGAUUUAUCGCCAUUAGAGCGGCCCGCGUCUGAUUAGCUAGUUGGUGAGGUAACGGCUCACCAAGGCGACGAUCAGUAGCUGGUCUGAGAGGAUGACCAGCCACACUGGGACUGAGACACGGCCCAGACUCCUACGGGAGGAAGCAGUGGGGAAUCAUGCGCAAUGGGCGAAAGGCUGACGCAGCCAUGCCGCGUGAAUGAUGAAGGUCUUAGGAUUGUAAAAUUCUUUCACCGGGGACGAUAAUGACGGUACCCGGAGAAGAAGCCCCGGCUAACUUCGUG